rnacentral:snRNA from 1 species
UGUUUUGAGGGUGACUAGCUACAACAUCUGUUACCCCUUGAUCGCCAGAGUUCAUUCUGUUGAUUUGGAUGGCUAGGUGGGUGUCUCCUUCCUCCCUCACCACUCCAUGUGUGUCCUUCCCAAAGCUGAGCACCAGUCGAAUAGGACAACGUUCCCAGAAUAGACGAAGACUGCUCUUCCAUCAAGGAGCACUCACCUGCUACGACCCCCAAACAAGCCCUCAAGGUACAUAGAGCCAACCCUGGUAAGUGUGUGUUGAUGAGAUGAAGCACAGACAGAUGGAUUUU